rnacentral:lncRNA from 1 species
AAGAAAACCAGAAGAGAGACAGCAGCAAGAGCUGCAGGCGGGGCUGGGCACGGAUUCCAGGGGAAGGAGAUGACAGUGGGAGGAAUGGCCAUCAUUCCAAAAGGGCUGGAUUGCACAGCAGGGCAGCAUCGCAAGAGUAGGAAGGGCUGUUCAAAGACACAACCGUCAACUCUGGGAAGACUCGGCAGGGGGCAUAUUUCUGAAAGUUCUGUUUCCACAGAUGGUGUGAAAUCAGCAAAGGAAAAUGCUGCUUCUGUCCAGACAGCUCUUCCACUCUUUAUUCUCACUCUAUGAGUCACUGGGUUGACUGUUGAUUUCGUCGCUGAACUGGGAUUCCUUAACUUGC